rnacentral:rRNA from 1 species
AUUGAACGCUGGCGGCAGGCCUAACACAUGCAAGUCGAGCGGAGCGGCGGACGGGUGAGUAAUGCCUAGGAAUCUGCCUGGUAGUGGGGGAUAACGUCCGGAAACGGGCGCUAAUACCGCAUACUAUCAGAUGAGCCUAGGUCGGAUUAGCUAGUUGGUGGGGUAAAGGCCUACCAAGGCGACGAUCCGUAACUGGUCUGAGAGGAUGAGCAGUCACACUGGAACUGAGACACGGUCCAGACUCCUAAGGGAGGCAGCAGUGGGGAAUAUUGGACAAUGGGCGAAAGCCCGAUGCAGCCAUGGCGCGUGUUUGAAGAAGGGCUUCGGAUUGGAAAGCACUUUUAGUUGGGAGGCGUUACCAAAAGAAGAAGCACCGGCUAACUUCGUGCCAGCAGCCGCGGUAAUUC